GAAAUGCGAUACGCAAUGCGAAUUGCAGAACCGCGAGUCAUCAGAUCUUUGAACGCAGCCCGCGCUGGAGAGAUAUCUCUCUGGCAUGUUUGUUUCAGUGUGUUUGGUUGGCUUCAAACAUCUCAAUGCGAUUGAAGGGGUUUUUUUAUUAAAACUUCUUCUCUCGUGAAAAUGGGUCGUGUGCGGCUUGUGUCCGCCAACGAAGUGGUCGCUGUCAAAAACAGUGAUUUCGUUGGAUAAACGUGUCACAGCCAACAAAAAAAAGCAUACGCGAACUUUAAUACUUUUCUUCAAUCGACACCUGAAAUCAAGCAAGUCUACCCGCUGAACUUAA
rnacentral:misc_RNA from 1 species